AGAGUUUGAUCCUGGCUCAGGAUGAACGCUGGCGGCGUGCCUAAUACAUGCAAGUCGAGCGAACGGACGAGAAGCUUGCUUCUCUGAUGUUAGCGGCGGACGGGUGAGUAACACGUGGAUAACCUACCUAUAAGACUGGGAUAACUUCGGGAAACCGGAGCUAAUACCGGAUAAUAUUUUGAACCGCAUGGUUCAAAAGUGAAAGACGGUCUUGCUGUCACUUAUAGAUGGAUCCGCGCUGCAUUAGCUAGUUGGUAAGGUAACGGCUUACCAAGGCAACGAUGCAUAGCCGACCUGAGAGGGUGAUCGGCCACACUGGAACUGAGACACGGUCCAGACUCCUACGGGAGGCAGCAGUAGGGAAUCUUCCGCAAUGGGCGAAAGCCUGACGGAGCAACGCCGCGUGAGUGAUGAAGGUCUUCGGAUCGUAAAACUCUGUUAUUAGGGAAGAACAUAUGUGUAAGUAACUGUGCACAUCUUGACGGUACCUAAUCAGAAAGCCACGGCUAACUACGUGCCAGCAGCCGCGGUAAUACGUAGGUGGCAAGCGUUAUCCGGAAUUAUUGGGCGUAAAGCGCGCGUAGGCGGUUUUUUAAGUCUGAUGUGAAAGCCCACGGCUCAACCGUGGAGGGUCAUUGGAAACUGGAAAACUUGAGUGCAGAAGAGGAAAGUGGAAUUCCAUGUGUAGCGGUGAAAUGCGCAGAGAUAUGGAGGAACACCAGUGGCGAAGGCGACUUUCUGGUCUGUAACUGACGCUGAUGUGCGAAAGCGUGGGGAUCAAACAGGAUUAGAUACCCUGGUAGUCCACGCCGUAAACGAUGAGUGCUAAGUGUUAGGGGGUUUCCGCCCCUUAGUGCUGCAGC
rnacentral:rRNA from 2 species